rnacentral:tRNA from 1 species
GCCUGGGUGGCUCAGUCAGUUGAGCCUCUGUCUUCGGCUCAGGUCAUGAUCUCAUAAUUCGUGGGUUCAAGCCCCGUGUCAGGCU